CCUACGUGAGGCAGCAGUGAGGAAUAUUGGUCAAUGGGCGCGAGCCUGAACCAGCCAAGUCGCGUGAGGGAUGACGGCCCUACGGGUUGUACACCUCUUUUGCCGGGGAGCAACGGGCGCCACGUGUGGCGCCACUGAGAGUACCCGGAGAAAAAGCAUCGGCUAACUCCGUGCCAGCAGCCGCGGUAAUACGGAGGAUGCGAGCGUUAUCCGGAUUUAUUGGGUUUAAAGGGUGCGUAGGCGGAUCGUUAAGUCAGUGGUCAAAUUGAGGGGCUCAACCCCUUCCCGCCAUUGAAACUGGCGCUCUUGAGUGGAAGAGAAGGAUGCGGAAUGCGUGGGGUAGCGGUGAAAUGCAUAGAUAUCACGCAGAACCCCGAUUGCGAAGGCAGCAUGCCGGCUUCCGACUGACGCUGAAGCACGAAAGCGUGGGGAUCGAACAGGAUUAGAUACCCCUGUAGUC
rnacentral:rRNA from 1 species